rnacentral:lncRNA from 1 species
UUUGAGCUCGCCAGGAUUGGUGAACAACCAAACAAGGCAGCACAAUUUGUGCCAGGCAUUUUAUACCCAUUGUCACAAAAAACCUUUACUACAACCAUGAUAAUGGUCUAAUCGUUUUCAUUUUAUGAAUUAGUAAACUGAGCUUCAGAGACUUUAAGUAAUUCUCAAAAAAAUCACGUAACUAAAUAACCUGCAGAGAAGGGCUUCAAAUAUAUGUCUGUCUGUCUUCAAAGUCCAUGGUCCUUUAAUAUUAUAUUACACCCAACUACAUCUCCCACACAUAUCACUGUCACAGGAUUUCAGAAAUGGAUGACAUCAUUGUAGACUGUGGGGGUCCCAGAAUGCUGACCAAAUAAGUCUAGCACACAAGGGCUCAAUUAUAGAUAUGAUGUGAAUUGGUUUGGCUAUUGUGGACUUAUAGAGCUUCAAAGGGGUUAAAUUACAGAAGUUGCAAACAGACAGACCCUUGGGUUGCAUUUAACAAGCAGAUGUGCUUUGUUUAGCCUACACAAAGGCUAAAAGAUCAGGACAUUCUACUAAACAUCCAGAUUUGCAUUUUUCUUUUUUAAAAAGUGGAGUAAUUAGACACCCCGGCCCCUACGUUUCUGCAUGACAAAAAUCAAGUGUAACUAAGCAGCAACUGCCUCAUCUAAAUCAAUUAACUCUAUACUCUCUAGUUUACCACAAUCCUCUCCACUCCCUAUUGUAUUUUAUUGCCUGCUGUACUCAUUUAUGUUACUUGCCUAGAUUCUGUGAAAAACUGUAUUUAUAACUUCUUUUUUAGGGACUAGGAACAGAAAAAGAGAAAAACUUCCUCCUACUGGCCACCUGGAGACCAUCCACCUGGAAAUAUACCAGAUGGAGACUGGAUUGGGGAGCACAUUAAUAAUAUGAGCCAAGUAGUGGGCACAUAAUAAGUGAUCAAUUAAUGUUGACUAAAUAUAUGAAUGAAUAAAGAAAUGAGUGAACUAAAGAACAUCAAGUUCUCCCUCAGAUGAGAAAACCAAAAGCCAGAAAAUUAACCAACUGGCCCAAAGUCAUACAGACAGAUGGCAACAAAACUGGGAUUUAAAGUUGUCUGUCUCAUUUCAAAUCAUAUAAUUUUUUUAUUAUGCUAUUUCGCUCUCAGGGGAAGUUCAAAGGUGUUGUGCACCAACUGUUGCUAAUUCCUAGUCUCAUUAGGAGCAUUAUAAAUAAAUACUGUAAUUUUAGAUAGUAACAAAUUCUGUGAAGAAAAUGAAACAGAAUGCUGCCAUAAAGAGCUAUUGCAGGAGAGAGAUGAAAGACAUCAAAUAAGGCCAACUUCACUGAGGAAGUAACAUUUGAGCUAAAACAAGCAAAAGAAUUCAGAUAAAUAAAGAUCUAGGGGAACACAAAAGAAAAUAUUUUGAGGAAGGGCAGGCUCGCUCUGUUUCAGGACCAGCAAAAAGAUCACUCUCUGGGGACUAAAUGAAUAUGGAAGGGAUUGAUAAAGAUGAAGACACAUCUAACAGUGACCUGUAAACCAGGAGACAGUGAUUAGAUUUUAUACUGUAAUGAAAACCAUUAGAAGACUUUAAGCAAAGAAAUGUAAUAAUUUAAUUCACACUAAAAAGUGAAAACUAGUUUACAUUUUGUGUGAGGAACAGGCUGUAAGAGGACAACAGUGAAAGCAAAUAAAGCAGUAAGAAGAAAAUACAGAUGAGAGGUUAUUGAGGCCUAGAAGUAGGAUAGAUAGUUGUGGAAUUGGUAAGACAUAGUUGUAUUUGAAAAGCAUUUUCAAAAUAGAGCUGAUAAGAGUUGCUCAUGGAUUAGAUAUAAGGAAUAAGCUAGAAAGAGAAAUCAAGAUUUUUUUAAUAGAGUAAGAAUAUUAAAUUGAGUAAAUAAAUUAACUUGAGAAAAUUUAAUUCCAAUCAGUUUCAUGGGGAAGAUUGAGAAAGAGAUGGCAAUUUUGCAGGAGGUGGGAAAGGGAAUGAGGAGGUGGAAUUAUAUUUGGACAUGUUAAGUUUCAGAUGCUUAUUCAACAUUCUAAUGAAGACGCCAAGCAGGCAGUUGCAUAUAGGAGUUUGGAGUUCAGACUUUUUCAACACCCUUAAAAGUAUGUUCACCUAUUCUUCUCAUGUACCUUCAAGCCAAUGGACCAGAUAAAAGGUUGCAAGAAAUUGUUAGCUUAACACCCUUUUCGUUACCCCCGUACCAUUAGAGAAAUAGGGUGCCUCAUAUAGCACUAUGAAAAGCUUUUACAAAACUGUAGUUCAUGUCUCCACCCAGAUAAUGCCCAUAAAGUAAAAGCAUGGCUUUCGACACCAAUAAUUUCCUAUACCCGUAUAGGCCAGUCCAGAGCCAGUAAUUUUUUUAAAAAAGCCUAGUAUAUCUAUCUAUUGCCAACAGGUAGCCCCUUAAUGUAACAGACUUUUAGAUGUAUAUGUAACAGAUAUAGAUGGCUUUCACCCUUUAGUAUGCUAUUGUGAAGAGAAAGCUAGUUUAGACAUCAGAAGUGAAUCUGAAUCCUGUGUUCCUUCAAUAUAUCUGACAUUGGGUAGCUACUUUGGGUCUUAUUUGACUAAUCUAUAAAACAGAGACAUUAAUCGUACCUAUCUUAUAGGAUUACUAUUAGUAUUGAAUCACAUAAUCCAUGGAAACCCUUAACACGAUGCUCA